rnacentral:rRNA from 1 species
AUUGAACGCUGGCGGCAGGCCUAACACAUGCAAGUCGAACGAGUGGCGGACGGGUGAGUAAUGUCUGGGCAACUGCCCGAUGGUGGGGGAUAACUACUGGAAACGGUAGCUAAUACCGCCUACCAUCGGAUGUGCCCAGAUUGGAUUUGCUAGUAGGUGGGGUAACGGCUUACCUAGGCGACGAUCCCUAGCUGGUCUGAGAGCAUGACCAGCCACACUGGAACUGAGACACUGUCCAGACUCCUACGGGAGUCAGGCGUGGGGAAUAUUGCACAAUGGGCGCAAGCCUGAUGCAGCAAUGCCGCGUGUAUGAAGAAGGCCUUCGGGUUGUAAAGUACUUUCAGCGGGGAGGCGUUACCCACAGAAGAAGCACCGGCUAACUCCGUGCCAGCCGCCGCGGUAAUUC